rnacentral:rRNA from 1 species
AGUGAACGCUGGCGGCGUGCUUAACACAUGCAAGUCGAACGAGAACGGGCUAUAGCUUGCUAUAGUUGUCAGCUAAGUGGCGCACGGGUGAGUAAUGUAUAGGUAAUAUGCCUCUUACUAAGGGAUAACAAAUGGAAACGUUUGCUAAUACCUUAUACUCCUUAUUAACAGAAGUUAAUAAGGGAAAGAUUUAUUGGUAAGAGAUUAGCCUGUAUUGUAUCAGUUAGUUGGUGGGGUAAUGGCUUACCAAGACUAUGACACAUAACUGGUUUGGGAGGAUGAUCAGUCACACGGGAACUGAGACACAGUCCAGACUCCUACGGGAGGCAGCAGUGGGGAAUAUUGCACAAUGGACGAAAGUCUGAUGCAGCAACGCCGCGUGGAGGAUGACACAUUUCGGUGCGUAAACUCCUUUUAUAUGAGAAGAUAAUGACGGUAUUAUACGAAUAAGCACCGGCUAACUCCGUGCCAGCAGCCGCCGUAA